GACGAACGCUGGCGGCGUGCUUAACACAUGCAAGUCGAACGGAAAGGCCCUGCUUUUGUGGGUUGCUCGAUUGCCGAACGGGUGAGUAACACGUGAGUAACCUGCCCUUGACUUUGGGAUAACUUCAGGAAACUGGGGCUAUUACCGGAUAGAAGCUCCUGCUGCAUGUUGGGGGUUGGAAAGUUUCGGCGGUUGGGGAUGGACUCGCGGCUUAUCAGCUUGUUGGUGGGGUAGUGGCUUACCAAGGCUUUGACGGGUAGCCGGCCUGAGAGGGUGACCGGCCACAUUGGGACUGAGAUACGGCCCAGACUCCUACGGGAGGCAGCAGUGGGGAAUAUUGCACAAUGGGCGGAAGCCUGAUGCAGCAACGCCGCGUGCGGGAUGACGGCCUUCGGGUUGUAAACCGCUUUCGCCUGUGACGAAGCGUGAGUGACGGUAAUGGGUAAAGAAGCACCGGCUAACUACGUG
rnacentral:rRNA from 1 species